UGUUGAUGGCCUGGUCCUGCGCGACGAAGCGCCUCGAACCCCGUCAGGUCCGGAAGGAAGCAGCGGUAAGGGGUUGGCUUCGGGUGCCGCGGGGACACCGGGCUUGAGUUGCCGUGUGGUGGCAAGCCUGUGGUCGGGAUCGACAGUAGGUGCACGG
rnacentral:SRP_RNA from 1 species